CCUACGGGAGGCAGCAGUGGGGAAUUUUGCACAAUGGGGGAAACCCUGAUGCAGCGACGCCGCGUGAUUUAGAAGGCCUUCGGGUUGUAAAAAUCUUUUUUACGGGAUGAAAAUGACAGUACCGUAAGAAUAAGGUCCGGCUAAAUACGUGCCAGCAGCCGCGGUAAU
rnacentral:rRNA from 1 species